GUAGGUGGCAAGCGUUGUCCGGAAUUAUUGGGCGUAAAGCGCGCGCAGGCGGUCCUUUAAGUCUGAUGUGAAAGCCCACGGCUCAACCGUGGAGGGUCAUUGGAAACUGGGGGGACUUGAGUACAGAAGAGGAAAGCGGAAUUCCAAGUGUAGCGGUGAAAUGCGUAGAGAUUUGGAGGAACACCAGUGGCGAAGGCGGCUUUUCUGGUCUGUAACUGACGCUGAGGCGCGAAAGCGUGGGGAGCAAACAGGGAUUAGAUACCCUGGUAGUCCACGCCGUAAACGAUGAGUGCUAAGUGUUAGGGGGUUUCCGCCCCCUUAGUGCUGCAGCUAACGCAUUAAGCACUCCGCCUGGGGAUACGGCCGCAAGGCUG
rnacentral:rRNA from 1 species